AGAGUUUGAUCCUGGCUCAGAUUGAACGCUGGCGGCAGGCCUAACACAUGCAAGUCGAGCGGCAGCGCGGGGGCAACCCUGGCGGCGAGCGGCGGACGGGUGAGGAAUUCGUCGGAAUCUGCCUUUUUGUGGGGGAUAACGUAGGGAAACUUACGCUAAUACCGCAUACGACCUACGGGUGAAAGUGGGGGACCGCAAGGCCUCACGCAGAAAGAUGAGCCGACGACCGAUUAGCUAGUUGGUAGGGUAAAGGCCUACCAAGGUGACGAUCGGUAGCUGGUCUGAGAGGAUGAUCAGCCACACUGGGACUGAGACACGGCCCAGACUCCUACGGGAGGCAGCAGUGGGGAAUAUUGGACAAUGGGCGCAAGCCUGAUCCAGCCAUGCCGCGUGUGUGAAGAAGGCCUUCGGGUUGUAAAGCACUUUUGUCCGGAAAGAAAUCUUCCAACUUAAUACGUUGGGAGGAUGACGGUACCGGAAGAAUAAGCACCGGCUAACUUCGUGCCAGCAGCCGCGGUAAUACGAAGGGUGCAAGCGUUACUCGGAAUUACUGGGCGUAAAGCGUGCGUAGGCGGUUCGUUAAGUCUGACGUGAAAUCCCCGGGCUCAACCUGGGACGUGCGUUGGAAACUGGCGAUCUAGAGUACGGUAGAGGGUGGUGGAAUUCCCGGUGUAGCAGUGAAAUGCGUAGAGAUCGGGAGGAACACUCGUGGCGAAGGCGGCCACCUGGACCAGUACUGACGCUGAGGCACGAAAGCGUGGGGGAGCAAACAGGAUUAGAUACCCUGGUAGUCCACGCCC
rnacentral:rRNA from 1 species